rnacentral:rRNA from 1 species
UACGGAGGAUGCGAGCGUUAUCCGGAUUUAUUGGGUUUAAAGGGUGCGUAGGCGGGACCAUGAGUCAGCUGUGAAAGUUUUCGGCUCAACCGGAAAAUUGCCGUUGAAACUGUGGUUCUUGAGUGCAGAAGAGGUGGGCGGAAUUCGUUGUGUAGCGGUGAAAUGCGUAGAUAUAACGAAGAACACCAAUUGCGUAGGCAGCUUACCAUACUGCAACUGACGCUGAGGCACGAAAGUGUGGGUAUCAAACAGGAUUAGAUACCCUGGUA